UACAUGUGGGGCAAGCGUUGUUCGGAAUUACUGGGCAUAAAGGGUGCGUAGGUGGCUUGUUAAGUCAGGGGUGAAAGUUUUCGGCCCAACCGGAAAAUGGCCUUUGAUACUGGCGAGCUCGAGUGCGUGAGGGGUAACCGGAACGAGCAGUGUAGCGGUGAAAUGCAUAGAUAUUGCUCGGAAGGCCAACGGCGAAGGCAGGUUACUGGUGCGCAACUGACACUGAGGCACGAAAGCGUGGGGAGCAAACAGG
rnacentral:rRNA from 1 species